AUUGAACGCUGGCGGCAUGCCUUACACAUGCAAGUCGAACGGCAGCACGGGAGCAAUCCUGGUGGCGAGUGGCGAACGGGUGAGUAAUAUAUCGGAACGUGCCCAGUCGUGGGGAUAACGUAGCGAAAGCUACGCUAAUACCGCAUACGAUCUAUGGAUGAAAGCGGGGGAUCGCAAGACCUCGCGCGAUUGGAGCGGCCGAUAUCAGAUUAGGUAGUUGGUGAGGUAAAGGCUCACCAAGCCGACGAUCUGUAGCUGGUCUGAGAGGACGACCAGCCACACUGGGACUGAGACACGGCCCAGACUCCUACGGGAGGCAGCAGUGGGGAAUUUUUGGACAAUGGGCGCAAGCCUGAUCCAGCAAUGCCGCGUGCAGGAUGAAGGCCUUCGGUUGUAACGUA
rnacentral:rRNA from 1 species